CCUACGGGAGGCAGCAGUGGGGAAUAUUGGGCAAUGGGCGCAAGCCUGACCCAGCAACGCCGCGUGAAGGAAGAAGGCUUUCGGGUUGUAAACUUCUUUUCUCAGGGACGAAGCAAGUGACGGUACCCGAGGAAUAAGCCACGGCUAACUACGUGCCAGCAGCCGCGGUAAUACGUAGGUGGCAAGCGUUAUCCGGAUUUACUGGGUGUAAAGGGGGUGUAGGCGGGAAAGCAAGUCAGAUGUGAAACCCAUGGGCUCAACCUGUGGCCUGCAUUUGAAACUGUUUUGCUUGAGUAGUGGAGAGGCAGACGGAAUUCCUAGUGUAGCGGUGAAAUGCGUAGAUAUUAGGAGGAACACCAGUGGCGAAGGCGGUCUGCUGGACAGCAACUGACGCUGAGGCGCGAAAGCGUGGGGAGCAAACAGGAUUAGAUACCCGUGUAGUC
rnacentral:rRNA from 1 species